rnacentral:lncRNA from 1 species
GCGAGGUGCUCACUGGUUCGUCGGCGGCUAUGAGAAAGAUGGCGGCGGUAGAAGCUUUUUCCGGCGAGAAAUUCCGGUGAGGUGGAAGCGAAAUCGCGCGAGGGAGUUGGGGCAAAAGAGAGAGAGAGAGGUGUGGGCUUCAGGGUAACGCGCUCAAAACCGAAAGCGGGGCUGCGGGCGCGACGAAAUCGCGUGGAGGCGUCGUGGGCGCGGACUCGUGCUUGGCUGGGUGACUCGGGCGGCAGUUCGUGGGGAAGACGGAGCCUGACAGCGGGCCCUGCUCGUCAGUGGCAGCGGCUCGGGCGCAGGUGAGUGGGUCGGUUCGGCCCAUUUGGCCGGGCCGGCCGUCCUUUCUCUUUUUUUUUUCUUCUUUUGCUUUUUCUUUUUCUAUUUUCUAUUUUUGAAUACCAAAUUUGAUUCAAAGCUCCAAAUCAAACCAAAUAAAAUUUGUAAAAUCAUAUUUUCAUAUGAUUCAACAUUUGGGACAAGAAUUCCCUCAAAAUAAAAUAUUUAAAAAUACUUUUGCCUAUAAACUAGCCCUGAGGGCUUUUUAGCUAUUAAAAUAAUUAGUGUUUCAAAUCAAAUUCAAAAACCAAUAAAUGGGGUAGCUUUAUAAAUGCAUUAAACCCCUUUUUAUGCCAGAACCCUUAUGGGUUAAAAUGCAAUUAACCCA